GGAUGCAUUAAAUCUGCCUCAGCAAGUGGCAGUGAAGUUUCAAAUAGUAACGAGGACAGCUGCAUCUUCAUUGACUCCUGAAAGUCAAGUGUCUCUAAACCCUUUCUCAGCUUAUAAGACUGCUGAUGUGAUUCAUUUAGUUAUGAAACUGUAACAUCAAGGUUUUUUGCUGUCUUUUGUGUUGGUGGAAAUACUACUAGCUUUAGUUACGAUGACAUUCCAGGUAUUACUUUCUAUGGUUUUUGGACAGUAGUUCGUGUCAAGCCAGAGACAUAUUCUGAAUGAGCAGUAAAACAGCCCACAUCCUAGACUGGAAUUUGAAGUUAUAGAGGUAGACAAGUAGUUGAUAAUUACAUGAGGAAAUGAUGGAUCUGAGUGCUCAGCUUCCUCAGCUUUGUGCAUCUCAGACUUCAUGGAUCAGUACUGCAUGUUCUUGUUGUCUGAGAAAGAAACAGUAGUGAUUACUUGGAAUAUUGCAAGCCCUUUUUGUGCUUGUCAAGGUGGUUAUAGCUCAUUAUAUGUUUUUUGUUGUUGUUUUUUCCUGCAGUACUGAAAAACUGCAUGAAAUUUAGAUUUCAAAUGCACCUGAGCAUAAUCUCAAUUUGAAAGCAGAGGGGAAAGAAGUAGCUACUUUGCUCAUUUCUGCUUCAAAAUAGAGUAAAAGCGGGAUCAGAAAUGUAUAUAGUCCUCUGGUAGUGGACUGCCAAUAUAGUCUUUGCCAGCACCACAAUUCAGAAUGCCAGUCUCUCCUCCUUGUAAUUCCUCUGCUGCUAAAGAAUCAGUGGACCAGUAGCCACUACUCCCUUUCUUUUUUCCAUACCUUUAGCAGCAGUCUUGUAGUUUGCAGCUCUUGCCUGACCUUUUGUUCUUUAUGGUUUUUUUUUUGUUUGUUUUUUGUUUUUUGUUUGUUUUUUUUUUAACCCUCCUCCCAGCUGCAUUCAUUUCCUUAGUGGUCAGUGAACUUUCCCAGCCCCCUCUAACUACUUCCUUGUUUCUGCUGCUCUGACCAUGUUCAAUUUUACUCUCAAGGAAGACAACAGUUUCCUUGGGAGGACUUCUGCUGUUUCUACAGGACUGAGAAGCCUUGAAAUUAUCCCAAGCAGAGUCUAUUACAAAAUACUGACUUGCUCUUACAUGAAUUUGGUAUCAAUUCCAAGUCUCAUUUUCUGUUCCCCUGAGGAUGCGCAAAACUGACUGGAAGAGUAACAUGAUCAUAUAACUACAUUCACUAAACAGCAAAGAAUCUCUCAUUAAUCUUCGGAACAUUAAUUCUAAAAUAAAGCUGCAUAGCCCAUGCUGUCUGGAGACCAAUGCCAAUAGAAGGUUUCAUGAAGACUGGGGUAAGCUGCCUGUGAGAGAUGCAGAGGGAAUAUGCUAUAAUACUAAGGCAGUCAAGCUACCUAUGUCACCUUGGUCAUGGAAAUAUAAAUUCUGUUCCCUUCACAAAGAUAGGACAAAGGAGUGAUAUGGUCAUUAAUCUUGGAGGUAGCCAUUUGAAUGAAUACAAAGAAUUAAAGUUGCAAAAGUAAUAUUACACACAUCUGUCUGUCCUUUGCCUUAUCUGAAAGGACAACACAGUAACUAAAGCAAUUUCUCAUUAUUUUUCUACUCUUCACAAGCCAGCAAAGCAGGGUUUAUCAUUUGCAGUAGUAAGAGACUCUUUAUGCAUAUACAGAGCAUGUAGUAUAGCUCAGUAUCUGUGGGAGACAAUGUUCUGGCUUGUAUCAUGGUCUUCGUUCUGCUUCUGUGUUCCUCCAUGCUUUUUAAUUUAAGGUUUGUAAGGCAAGCAAAAUCUUAAAGUAAAAUGGCACUCACUAGUCUCCUCCACAAUCACACAACUUCAGUGUGGACUUCCACCUGUUUCCAGGUCGCUGGAGUAUUGCACAAUAUUUCCUGAAAUUGUUCAAUUGUCUGCUGUUCUUUCCAAUGCCCUUGGCCUUUUCAGUUUUCUUAGUUACUUAGCUACUUGCCUUCUUGUUUGCAGUGCUUUGUUUUUCAUGUACUGUGGUUCAUAGGGUAAUUGAGUUACUAAGGAAAAAAGUGGUGGAGACUGGGUAAAUGGCUGGCACAGAGUAAAGUAUCCUCAAACUCCAACCUCCUGUUAAGGUGGUAUGGCAUGUCCCCAUUUCUUAUGAAGAGUAUGAUUAAAUCACUUAGAGAUCUUGCACACAAAAUACACAUAAAAUCUCUCUUAAAAAUGAAGUAGAAAAUCAAUAAUCACGUGGUGAAAACACAAACUAACGUUGAUAUAAAGUAAUAAAAAUCAUAUUCACAUCAAAAUAUUUAUUAAUUUAUAUGUGAAAUUGAGAUUAAUGGCACUUUCACUUCAUAUAAAUUGUACUAAAAGGGAAAAUACAUUUCAGAUAUCUGAUAACUAAUAUCUAUUUUAUAUUUCUGUGACCCUGUGCCUUUAAUUAUUACUUGGUCAGUAACAAAUAUAUAGAUGCACACAUUGAAUAGUUUGUAUAAUCAUGUAACAUUAUUAUAAUUCUUUCCUGAGAUAAAAGGUAUUAUAUCAAAAAAAGAUAGAAUGUGCAGUACUAGAAAUUGUUUGGUGUUGAUAGGUCACAAGUUUUUUUUUGUAAUACUUGUUGUGCAUUGUUAUGGUUUAAUGAUUUUUGGUUAUUGGUAUUCCACAUCAUAACAUCAUGUAGUGCACUGAGAGUUAAAGAGUUAAUGCUCCAGAUCCAGGCACCUGUCGGAAGAGAAGAACAACUAUAUUCCCCAGAGUUGUGUUCAGACAGGAGAUAUAACCCCUGGCAAGAUGAGGGACAUCUCUUUUCAUCUGAAAGCUCAAGAAAACCAUGUUAUAAAUCUGGGUAUCCCAUGGCAAAAAUGGUUUGGCUGUGCCUAUUUUCCCUUUCCCAGGAUACUGCUACAAAUAAGUUUGAAAUAUUAAAACAAAAUUACUUUGGUUAUUUUAGUUUUAGAUAGUCACUUCCUUGUCCAGUGUUUUGCAUUUAUUUAGUAACUUACAAUAAGAAAUAAUGUAUUGUUCUGAGAUUAGACUGAUUUCUUAGCUAUGUAACUGAGGAGUUGUUGCAAGAACAUUUUCUGAGUCUAUGCUUUCAUUUCUGAAAAUAUAAAACGGUGUCAGAUAUAUAUAGAACUAUAAUGUCCUUAGUUUUAUUUUGCAUUUCACUCAUUCUUUUGAUAUGAAAAGCUGCUACAAUUCAUUAUCUUGGCAGAAGGAGUAUUGUAUAGAUGAAACAAGUUGUGAUUUGAGGUAGGCUAAAUCAGAAUGGAAAUAUUUUACUAAAGGAAAGCCUUCAAGCUGCAAAUAAAGAGUAAUUCUUCUAUUGAAAGGCUGUUGCCAAAAACAAUAACUUCUAUGGAGCCAUCAUGCCUUUGAUUUAGCAAAGCAAAGAACUGAGGUUUUGAGUCUGAGACAUUAACACAAUAUUUAACAAAGAUAAAUAAUUCUUUGGAUGAGAAGAAGCAUUUCUUGCUGCUUCACAGAUCAACAACUUAAACUUUUUCCAUGUACUUUAGUUUAUGAAUUUUAAAGAUAAUAAUCCUUAGGGGCCACAGUUUUCACAACUCUAGAUGUGUUGGCUGAAUUCUAUAAACCUGGAAAAUUUCAAACAAAAAGACAAUUGAUUCUUAUUUUUUGUAUGUAUAUUUAUAUAUUUGUAUGUAUAUAUAUACAUACAAAAAAAACCAUAUAUAUACACACAUACAUACAAAUAUAUAUAUACAACAACAGAACUGUUUUGAGAAUGGUGGGUGAAUAGUGCCAGUUCUUUGCCCUUAGGUUCUUAGUAUAAAAUGCAAACCCAAUCUUUGAAAUGUUUGUGAUACAUACAGCUAACAGAAUUAGCAUUGCAAUGCUAGAUCAUUUUUUUCUUGAAUACAGGAAAAGGUCAAAAUAAUUCUUUUUAUUGUAUUACUUGGUCUUUAAUGAAUAGAUAUUUCGUUCCUUUGAGGAUCUAGCCUUAUGCUUCGACAAGAAUUGAAACGUGAUGCACCAUUUACUGUCUGAGAUAAAUGUGAAAUACUUAACAUUUAAUUUGUAUUAAUUGAUACUAUGCCAACAGUAAGAAUAAAGUCACAUUCUUCCUUGAGAGAAUUGAGAAUGGUCUGUGCACUUUGAUGAAUUUGAGCUGUAUCUUUAUAAGUAGAAUAGGCUUAUGACUGUGACAGACAAUAUACAAUUUUUUGGCAACUCUGAUACACUGUUGGUUUUUCAUUGCUGCUUGUAACAUUACAAAGAAAAUAAGUUUGGAAGUUAUGUGAUGACUUUCUCCAUCCUAAUAAAUCUGUCCCACUGCAUUGUUUUUUAACUUUAUUUCUCUUUGGUAGUGGACUUAUUCUUGAAUGAGGUUUUGGGGAACUCUUUUUUUUUUUUUUUUUUU
ensembl:lncRNA